rnacentral:lncRNA from 1 species
AGCAAUCCAAACUUGUGUUUUUCUGGUUUAUUGAGGCUAACAUCGGCGACACUGAUUUCUCAGAAGCAAUUUGCUCAUUCCGAUGCUCUUCAGACACUGUGCAGUAAACCUCUUGCUUGGAACCGGGUCAGUCACUUGAGUUUAAAGCCAUUCCUGAGAACAGCAGCACGUUAACUCUCAGCUCAGCCUGCUGACGUUCAGCACUUCGUGCACCUCGAUGCAUCUCCAAACCAAAUCUCAAUUACUGAAGAAUUACAGUUGAGAUUAGUGUGGUUACGACGACACUGGAGACUAAGAGAUACUAAGAGAUGUAUUCACUUUUAUUCUCCUGGAAGUGGAAUAAUUUCUUAAGAGUGCGCUCGUUAGCUGACAGUUACCAGCAGAAUAGCUAAAAGGUAUAUACAAAGGCCACCAAAGGUCCUUCCCAAGAAGGACUGUAUGUAUGUUUUCAUUAGUGCAUUGAAAUGGCAUUGCCAGGCACAGGAUACGUGAAUACUCCUUCAGCAGUCCCCCCAUCCCACUACUGAGGGUAGAGCUCCACCAACAUUGCAUGCCCCUGCCCUCCUGCAGCACACGCAGCAAUCAGGCCGUACUGCCCUCCCUCCUUCUUCAGCCUAUGGGCAGCAGUAAUGGCCAGGCGGCAGCCGG